rnacentral:tRNA from 2 species
CGGGGAAUGGCGCAGCCUGGUAGCGCGCUGCGUUCGGGUCGCAGAGGUCUCGGGUUCAAAUCCCGAUUCCCCGA